UGCAGUCGAGCGCGCCCUUCGGGGUGAGCGGCGGACGGGUUAGUAACGCGUGGGAAUAUACCCUUUUCUGCGGAAUAGCCUCUGGAAACGGAGAGUAAUACCGCAUACGCCCUUCGGGGGAAAGAUUUAUCGGGGAAGGAUUAGCCCGCGUUAGAUUAGGUAGUUGGUGGGGUAAUGGCCUACCAAGCCUACGAUCUAUAGCUGGUUUUAGAGGAUGAUCAGCAACACUGGGACUGAGACACGGCCCAGACUCCUACGGGAGGCAGCAGUGGGGAAUCUUGGACAAUGGGGGCAACCCUGAUCCAGCCAUGCCGCGUGAGUGAUGAAGGCCUUAGGGUCGUAAAGCUCUUUCGCCUGUGAAGAUAAUGACGGUAGCAGGUAAAGAAACCCCGGCUAACUCCGUGCCAGCAGCCGCGGUAAUACGGAGGGGGUUAGCGUUGUUCGGAAUUACUGGGCGUAAAGCGCACGUAGGCGGACUGGAAAGUUGGGGGUGAAAUCCCAGGGCUCAACCCUGGAACUGCCUCCAAAACUAUCAGUCUAGAGUUCGAGAGAGGUGAGUGGAAUUCCGAGUGUAGAGGUGAAAUUCGUAGAUAUUCGGAGGAACACCAGUGGCGAAGGCGGCUCACUGGCUCGAUACUGACGCUGAGGUGCGAAAGUGUGGGGAGCAAACAGGAUUAGAUACCCUGGUAGUCCACACCGUAAACGAUGAAUGCCAGUCGUCGGGUAGCAUGCUAUUCGGUGACACACCUAACGGAUUAAGCAUUCCGCCUGGGGAGUACGG
rnacentral:rRNA from 1 species